rnacentral:rRNA from 1 species
CAGCAGGUCUGUAGCAAUACAGAUGCUGGCGACCGGCAAACGGGUGCGGAACACGUACGCAACCUUCCUUUAAGUGGGGGAUAGCCCGGGGAAACCCGGAUUAAUACCCCGUAAAAUUGUGGUGUGGCAUCACACUAUAAUUAAAGCUCCGGCGCUUAAAGAUGGGCGUGCGACUGAUUAGGUAGUUGGCGGGGUAACGGCCCACCAAGCCUACGAUCAGUAACUGGUGAGAGCACGACCAGUCACACGGGCACUGAGACACGGGCCCGACUCCUACGGGAGGCAGCAGUAAGGAAUAUUGGUCAAUGGACGCAAGUCUGAACCAGCCAUGCCGCGUGGAGGAUGAAGGUCCUCUGGAUUGUAAACUUCUUUUAUCUGAGAAGAAACCCACUGAUUCUUCGGUGGUUGACGGUACCAGAUGAAUAAGCACCGGCUAACUCCGUGCCAGCAGCCGCGGUAAUACGGAGGGUGCAAGCGUUAUCCGGAUUCACUGGGUUUAAAGGGUGCGUAGGUGGGUUGGUAAGUCCGUGGUGAAAUCUCCGAGCUUAACUCGGAAACUGCCGUGGAUACUAUCAAUCUUGAAUACUGUGGAGGUAAGCGGAAUAUGUCAUGUAGCGGUGAAAUGCUUAGAUAUGACAUAGAACACCGAUAGCGGAGGCAGCUUGCUACACAGUCAUUGACACUGAGGCACGAAAGCGUGGGGAUCAAACAGGAUUAGAUACCCUGGUAGUCCACGCCCUAAACGAUGGAUACUCGACAUACGCGAUACACUGUGUGUGUCUGAGCGAAAGCAUUAAGUAU